rnacentral:rRNA from 1 species
GAUGAACGCUGGCGGCGUGUUUAACACAUGCAAGUCGAGCGAGAAGUUUUGAAGAGGUUCUUCGGAUGAAAUUUAAAAUGGAAAGCGGCGGACGGGUGAGUAACGCUUAGGCAACCUGCCCCAUACAAAGGGAUAGCAUUUGGAAACGCAUAUUAAUACCUUAUGAAACUUAACUAGUGCAUGUUAGGUAGGUCAAAGCUUUAUCGGUAUGGGAUGGGCCUGCGUCUGAUUAGCUAGUUGGUGAGGUAACGGCUCACCAAGGCGACGAUCAGUAGCCGACCUGGGAAGGUGAACGGCCACAUUGGAACUGGGACACGGUCCAAACUCCUACGGGAGGAAGCAGUGGGGAAUAUUGCACAAUGGGGGAAACCCUGAUGCAGCAACGCCGCGUGAACGAGGAAGGCCUUUGGGUCGUAAAGUUCUGUUGUAGGUGAGGAAAACUGACAGUAACCUAGAAGAGAACCCCGGCUAACUCAGUG